UUGCUGCAGCAGCACAUAUACUAAAAUUGGAAUGAUAACAGAGAUUAGCAUGGCUUCUGUGCAAGGAUGACACUCAAACUCGUGAGGCAUGCUGUAUUUAA
rnacentral:snRNA from 1 species